UACAGGGGGGGCAAGCGUUGUUCGGAAUUACUGGGCGUAAAGGGCUCGUAGGUGGCCAACUAAGUCGGACGUGAAAUCCCUCAGCUUAACUGGGGAACUGCAUCCGAUACUGGAUGGCUUGAGUUUGGGAGAGGGAUGCGGAAUUCCAGGUGUAGCGGUGAAAUGCGUAGAUAUCUGGAGGAACACCGGUGGCGAAGGCGGCAUCCUGGACCGGCAUUGACGCUGAGGCGCGAAAGCCAGGGGAGCAAACGGG
rnacentral:rRNA from 1 species